CAAGCCAGUGCCAAACAGGAUGACUGGGCCGUGGUAGAGGAGGUUCUGCAGCCGGUGGACAGGGAACCCCUGAUCUACCACAUGGACUCUGGGGCGCAUCGCUACGGCAACGAACAGGACUUGCCAGACGAGUUCUUUGAGGUGACUGUGGACGACAUCCGCAAACGCUUCGCUCAGCUGAAGAGUGAGAGGAGGGUACUAGAGGG